GUCGCCGUGAGGGUAGCUGUACAAAUGUGCGUGCAUGCGUGCGUGCGUGUGCGUGUGUGCGUGUGUGUGCGCGUGUCCGUCCGUCCUAUUUCUAUGAGUGUCUCUUUCUAUGCUCUAUCUUUCUGAUGGCCGGAAGGGCGCAAGGCUGAAAUGCCACCAUGAAUUGGCUGAAAUGCCACCAUGAAUUGGCUGAAAUGCCACCAUGAACUGGCUGAAAUGCCGCCCUCAAAUGGCUGAAAUGCCGCCCUCAAAUGGCUGAAAUGCCGCUGUCAAAUGGCUGAAAUGCCGCUGUCAAAUGGCUGAAAUGCCGCUGUCAAACAGUUGCGCCACCGGAUCCAGAUAAGUCAACUCUUUCUCUCAAGUAUUGAUUACAUUUUGCCGAAAUUAAAGUGCAUAUUUUCAGCAUUUACUGUACAUUGUGUAUUCGUUUAACUAGGCUACAAUCUUGUAUUUAACAUUCAAUACAUUUUAUUGAAUCUCCUUAGGAUUAUGAAAAGGAAAACAGCAUUUGCACAGUAGCAAAGGACAUAAAGAACAAGGAUCUUACAGAUCUCCUCAUACAAAUCCAACAUCUAAACCUAUGUGGAGAAGAGGAGAUGGACUGGAUGAAUGAAGAACUGGGUGUGGCCAGCUCCCAGAUAGAGAAGAACAGUGAGGAAAUGGAUUGGAUCACAACAAACAAUCCGAAUUUCUGCAACUGGAGAGUAAGCCAUGAAGAUGAAGAAUAAGCCUAAAGAGGUGUCAACCGGAUGGACUGCAAUUAAAACAGCAUUAAUGCAAGGACAUUGGUGCACAUUGCAGAUGCAUUGUGCACCACCUGUUAAGGCCAGAAGAGGACUGGCCACCUCUUGGAGCCUGGUUCCUCUAAAGGUUUCUUCCUAGGUUCCUGGUUACUAGGGAGUUUUUCCUAGCCACAGCUUUUGCAUCAUCAUUGCAUGCUCUUUGGGGUUUUAGAAUGGAAAUCUGCAAACUGACACUGUAACAAAGGCUUACCAUUUUCUAUUUGAUUCACAAUGACUUUCAGUCAGGUGUGAACAUUGUAAAUACUGUACAGUAUGUUUGUGUUGGUU